rnacentral:lncRNA from 1 species
UAUAGAGCUCCAUUUUUAUGGAAUGGUCUGCCUACCAAUGUGAGAGACGCAGACUCAGUCUCAACCUUUAAGUCUUUACUGAAGACUUACCUCUUCAGUAGGUCCUAUGAUUAAGUAUAGUCUGGCCCAGGAGUGUGAAGGUGAACGGAAAGGCUGGAGCAACGAACCGCCCUUGCUGUCUCUGCCUUGCCGGUUCCCCUCUUUCCACUGGGAUUCUCUGCCUCUAACCCUUUUACUGGGGCUGAGUCACUGGCUUACUGGUGUUCUUCCAUGCCGUCCAUGGGAGGGGUGCGUCACUUGAGUGGGUUGAGUCACUGACGUGGUCUUCCUGUCUGGGUUGGGGGGGCUUGGGUUGUGCCAUGGUGGAGAUCGCUGUGGGCUAUACUCGGCCUUGUCUUAGGACGGUAAGUUGGUGGUUGGAGACAUCCCUCUAGUGGUGUGGGGGCUGUGCUCUGGCAAAGUGGGUGGGGUUAUAUCCUGCCUGUUUGGCCCUGUCCGGGGGUAUCAUCGGAUGGGGCCACAGUGUCUUCUGAUCCCUCCUGUCUCAGCCUCCAGUAUUUAUGCUGCAGUAGUUUAUGUGUCGGGGGGGGCUAGGGUCAGUCUGUUACAUCUGGAGUAUUUCUCUUGUCUUAUCCGGUGUCCUGUGUGAAUUUAAAUAUGCUCUCUCUAAUUCUCUCUUCUCUCUUUCUGUCUUUCUCUCGGAGGACCUGAGCCCUAGGACCAUGCCUCAGGACUACCUGGUAUGAUGACUCCUUGCUGUCCCCAGUCCACCUGGCCGUGCUGCUGCUCCAGUUUCAACUGUUCUGCCUGCGGCUAUGGAACCCUGACCUGUUCACCGGACGUGCUUGUUGCACCCUCGACAACUACUAUGAUUAUUAUUAUUUGACCAUGCUGGUCAGGGUUCCAUAGCCGCAGGCAGAACAGUUGAAACUGGAGCAGCAGCACGGCCAGGUGGACUGGGGACAGCAAGGAGUCAUCAUGCCAGGUAGUCCUGAGGCAUGGUCCUAGGGCUCAGGUCCUCCGAGAGAAAGACAGAAAGAGAGAAAGAGAGAAUUAGAGAGAGCAUAUUUAAAUUCACACAGGACACCGGACAAGACAAGAGAAAUACCCCAGAUGUAACAGACUGACCCUAGCCCCCCGACACAUAACCUACUGCAGCAUAAAUACUGGAGGCUGAGACAGGAGGGAUCAGAAGACACUGUGGCCCCAUCCGAUGAUGCC